rnacentral:piRNA from 1 species
UCUGAGUAAAAUGUCUCAUUAUCCUCAUG